rnacentral:lncRNA from 1 species
UUCGUAGAAGGGAAUACCCAACCUUCUUGAUUAACGUCUAACAACGAAUGUUUCACAAGAUUAACCUAUGCUCUAAAAGAGUAAUUAAGCCAUUAGCCAUAAACCCCUAUAAAAAUCUACAGAAAACAUUUACUUACUAAAACCUAGAAAAAAUACAAUCAUAAAAGGGAGUAGAGAUUGAUCCUCACCAACACAAGAACAAAGUUGAAAGCACCACUACAUAAGAAUCAAGAACCGAUUGAAGAGAAAGAAAGAAGAAAAAAACAAAAGGGAAAGAAGGGACGCACAAAAUGAUGAAACAAACAAACAAAAGAAAUAAACAAGAAAGAAAAAAAAGAAACAAAUGUGAAACAAUUGGGAAACAUGG